rnacentral:rRNA from 1 species
GUAAAAAUCGUAACAAGGUUUCCGUUAGGUGAACCUGCGGAAGGAUCAUUAUCGAGUUUUGACUGGGUUGUAGCUGGCCUUCCGAGGCAUGUGCACGCCCUGCUCAUCCACUCUACACCUGUGCACUUACUGUGGGCUUCAGAUCGUAAAACGGGUCCCUUUACCGGGCUUGCGGAGCGUGUCUGUGCCUGCGUUUAUCACAAACUCUAUAAAGUAUCAGAAUGUGUAUUGCGAUGUAACGCAUCUAUAUACAACUUUCAGCAACGGAUCUCUUGGCUCUCGCAUCGAUGAAGAACGCAGCGAAAUGCGAUAAGUAAUGUGAAUUGCAGAAUUCAGUGAAUCAUCGAAUCUUUGAACGCACCUUGCGCUCCUUGGUAUUCCGAGGAGCAUGCCUGUUUGAGUGUCAUGAAAUCUUCAACCUGCAAGCUUUUGUGGUUUGUAGGCUUGGACUUGGAGGCUUGUCGGCCGUUGUUGGUCGGCUCCUCUUAAAUGCAUUAGCUUGGUUCCUUGCGGAUCGGCUCUCAGUGUGAUAAUGUCUACGCUGCGACCGUGAAGCGUUUGGCGAGCUUCUAACCGUCUCAGUUGGAGACAACUUUAUGACCUCUGACCUCAAAUCAGGUAGGACUACCCGCUGAACUUAAG